rnacentral:rRNA from 1 species
UCUUUUCCUUUUGUGCCCGCCGCCGCGGUAAUACGGAGGAUCCGAGCGUUAUCCGGAUUUAUUGGGUUUAAAGGGAGCGUAGAUGGAUGUUUAAGUCAGUUGUGAAAGUUUGCGGCUCAACCGUAAAAUUGCAGUUGAUACUGGAUGUCUUGAGUGCAGUUGAGGCAGGCGGAAUUCGUGGUGUAGCGGUGAAAUGCUUAGAUAUCACGAAGAACUCCGAUUGCGAAGGCAGCCUGCUAAGCUGCAACUGACAUUGAGGCUCGAAAGUGUGGGUAUCAAACAGG